AAACUCGUAGCUCAGCUGGUAGAGCGUGCGCUGUACAAAAGCGUGGGUUCGAAUCCCAUCGAGGCUA
rnacentral:tRNA from 1 species